rnacentral:misc_RNA from 1 species
AUUAAAUCAAAAUAAUUCCUAAACUUAGGGUGCGUUUGGAAAUGUUUUGGAUGACGGUUUUUCAUUUUUUUUUAAGAAUAAAAACUGAAACAUGUACGGCAAUAUCUAUUUCGUUUACUUUUUCAUCAGUUAUUUAGAAAUUCUUUUAAAAACAAAAACUGUCAAGUUGAAAACUGCAAAUCAUGCUUUCCACUGUUGUAUUGGAUAAAAA